ACCAUUUUUUUUUUUUCUUUUGGUAGGAGUAAAAGUUCUGCUGGUGCUGCGUCGGGGGCGGCGGCGGUGCAAUGCGCAUUCACCACUCUCUCAGGAGCGACUAUUUUUAGCGGAGCUCAUUCCACAUGGUUGGAGCAACUCUGGUCACGCAUGGUAAGCUGACCAUCAUGGAAGGAUGCGCUUGGGUGGAGAGCUUCAACCAACUUGUCUAACAGUGUGACUCACGUUUACCACCUUCAUGGUCUAAGGGAUGCCAGUCAGAACUAGGCAUAAGGUUCACAGUGUUGAACUGUGGUAGUCUUCUGUCAACGUACUCAAAUGAAAUCUGUUGAAUUUACUGACUGAAGAAGUUUUUGGUGGAGAAAUUUACUAUGAAUUUCAAGUGGAGGAAAUUUAUGCUAAGAAUAUCAAGUGAAGAAAUUCUUGAUACAAAUCUGAAGUACAGAAAAUUCAUGCAUGAUUCCUUCAGAUACACAGUACAUGGGCCUCAUUAUAGUAUUUGAGUGAUAUCAUAGAGGUAAAACUUAUAAGUCACUAAUUAGUGACAACUUUAUACAUUACCAGAUCAAAGGAUGCUCACUUUGCAUUGGGAAAGCCAAAUGGUAGAUAAAUCUGGCAGGGUUGACAAUAGCCAGUGCUGUAGCCUCCACUAAAGUGUGACACAAUGGACUCAACAAAGAUGAUGCAAAGAGCUUUGUAACUGUAAAUUAACCAAUUGUAAUGGUAAUGCUUCAGCAACUUCCUCCAUUUGACAAGACACUGCUGGAUAGUCUUGACUGCUAGUUCCAGGAGAUUGAGAACUACAUGCGGUACAUAGAAGCUAGGAUAGAGUGACAAAUAAAUAAAGUCUAAAAAGGCACACUGCCCAUUCUUGCAAGUAUCAUGGCAUCCAUAUGGGUGAGAUUGGGAUUGAGCUAUAUUGCAAAUUCCCAUGUGAAGACUAUUUGGAUGGUAGAAUCUGACAGUUCCUGCUGCAGACAAUGGCUAUCAUGUUACAAUCCCCAGGUCCAAUUUGGGCAAUAGUGGACUCGGCUCCCAUACCAACGUGACACAGUUCCUUGACAGUUCAACGUGAUAAGGCAAAAGGUUAAUCUCCUCACCAAUAUGAAGAAGGUGUUAGAAGUAUAACUGGUCAAAGUCUUACUGGGCCCCCAUCAACCUAAACACCUUUAGAAAAAAAAUAAAGGAUUGAGACUACCAUGCCACACCUAGUUUGGCUGAGACUGGUGGAUGAAUUGCAAUGAAAUAGUUGGCCAAAAAAACAGGGUAGUGUCAGCAACUUUAGGAGAAGCUACUUCAUUGGUACUGGUGGAUAUGAAUGGAAUGUGGAAGAUGUAUCCUUCAGGAUCUACACAAAAUUGGGUCCCAAUUCUGUUUUUAUAGGGAAGGAAGUUGGCUGCCAAAUUCAGAGGUAGAAAUCUAUCAUUGCCUCCAACACUCAAACUGCUUUGAAAGGUGAAGAGAUGACAGCAAUUUUGGGAGAAGCUUCUCUAGUGACACUGCUGAAUGAGUUGGAGUAGUGUUCUUUAGGAUCAACAAGUAUAUUCAUAUGAAUUUUGUCCCUAUCGACAAACAGUAUCCUCAUUUAUCUAAAAGAAAAUUUACUGGAUGAAACCUUAAGUGAUCUUGCAAAUAAUUUGGAUUUUAUUAUUUUACUGCUGAUCACAAUGUGGGAAGUAUCAUCCUUCAAGUGCAACAGCAUCUUAAGAUUCUCGUCGAUUCUUCAGCUUUUGUCUGAAAGGGGCCUAGUAGAAGCAAUUUGGCCUCCAUCUUCAUACCUUCAGAAUACGUAAGAGGUGAAAACACUGAGGGAGCUGCUACUUCAACUGUUCUUCCAGAUGAAUUAGUGUGAUAAAAGCAUAAAUCCUUCAUGUUCAACAAUGUAACAAAGCCUUUUCGCAGAUUGUUCACCAGAGUUAAGUUGUGUCAACUUACAUAAAUGGCAUCCACAUUUUCAUAUUGGUGCAGAAAGGAACUGGAUAACAUGUCUUUUGAUGGCACUGAAAUUAUUAUUAGGGUGAAAUUAAUCGUGUCUCAUUUGCAGCGACAAGAGAUUUCCUCAUCAAUUCUUCGUGAUGUUGCAGAAAGGAACUGUGGAUACCAUGUCAUUGAUGGCACUGGUAAAUCAUUUUUAAAGUGAAAUCAAUUCUGUCUCAUUCGCAGCUACAAGAGAUUUCCUCAUCAAUUCUUCGUUGGUCAUCUAAAAGUAGUGGCCGAAGAAACCUUGGUGCAGUAUUCAAGUUCUAUGUAGUUGGCCUUAGACACCCAAAUACCAUAAGUAAGACGGCCCUCAAAACAGCUACAUUAAUGGUACUGCAGGAAGAGUUAGAAUGCACAUCCUUUGGAUAUAAUAGCAGUAGAAGAUCUGCCAAUUCUCUUAACUCGUUUAUUUAAUAGAUCAUCACAAGAAACUUUGCACUGCAUGGUUUUUAGUCAAAGUGGGACUCAUGAACUGGAUGAACGACUGAAAUGUUUACCGAAUCUGUUCAACAGAAUCUGCAGAGUUGGGAGGGCAGUAUCUAUCCUAGUAUGCCUUGGUAAACUGUUUCCCUCAUCUUAAUUUGCACAUCCUUUUGAAACUGUAGUAUUCUUCCUGUAGAUAUGAGAAUUUUACUUUAAAAGCAGUAUUCAUACAUAUUUAAUACGACAGCAUUUAUUUCUCAGGAAUUUGGUAGGCUGAAAGUGUGAACCUCCUAUUUUUUUUUUUAUAUAUUUAUUUAUACCUUGGUAUCUUCCUGCCAAGUUUGCCCUGUAGAAUUUAUAACCAAUUUAAUAAUUCCUGGCAGCAACCACCACAAAUGUUUCCAUCAAGUCUUGUCUGGAUGCCUAAUGCUGAACAAAUACUGGUGCCUCUUUGCCUGCUUGGCUGAUUAAAAUUACACUAGAUGAAGCAGAAUUACUAGAGCAACUCUCAACUAUGCAGGAACUUGUUUGCCAUCUUGUAUCAACAGUACCAGAAAUGUUAACGUGCAGAUAGCUGCGAGAAAUUGUAAAGAAACUUACUUCUCAUCUUAAUGUUGGCUUGAGAAGUGUCUUUAGUUUACAGUGUUGUCAUUAUUUAUUUGAUUUUGGAAUUCAGUGCACUCUCGUGUUAUUCAGAACUCAAGAUCUACAAUUAUAUAUUUAGUUAAAUAAAAAGUAAAAUAUA